rnacentral:lncRNA from 1 species
CCUGUACUCUCUAGACCGCUCACCCGCCUGAUCUCUAUGGUCUCCGUCUGCGCAUGUGCGGCGUAGGCCCCACCUCUUCUUUUCCUCCCGCGCGGGCCACGUGAGGAGAUUCUGGAGCCUUCAAGUUGUCCCCCGUGCGCAAGCAGCAGGACGAGGCCCAGGACUUUUCGGGCCUGCACGUUUGCUGAGAGUGGUGUUCUUGUGGCGGGGGCGGAAGGUGGACGUCUUAGGAAGCCUUGCGACCCAGUCGGGACCCCCACAGGGACUCCGCAGUGCCUGGGGAUGGCCUGGACCUCGCCCGGGAAAGCUGACACUUCACAGGCCUCUCUAAUGUCCGAAGUGCUCCAGAAAAUGAAUCUAUUUGAGGUGAGCUCUUUCUCCUCCUCUUUGUGCUGUGAUGGAUUUCACUUUUUUUUUUUGUCUUUUGUCUUUUCAGGGCUGUACCUGUGGAUUGUGGAGGUUUCCAGGCUAGGGGUCUAGUCAGAGCUACAGCUGCUAGUCUACACCACAGCCCCAGCAAUGCCAGAUCCAAGCCGAAUCUGUGACCUAUACCACAGCUCAUGACAACUCCAGGUUCUUUAACUCACUGAGCGAGGCCAGGGAUUGAACCCGCAACCUCAUGGAUCCUAGUCGGAUUCGCUUGCGCUGCGCCACGAUGGGGACUCUGGAUUUCACUUUUGAUUUCCGAUUGUUCUCAUCCUUUAUGAAUGAAAAUUAUUUACAAUUUAUAAUCAGUUUGCUGAGAUUUUAUUUGAGACAUGGAGGUACUCGGAAAUAAUUCUAUUGAAUUCUUUUUUGCAUUUGUUGGAGUAAAGGUGUAUAGCAGCUUACUUUUGUUUUAAGGUUGUAACUGCCAUCUUUUUGUGAAUAUAUUUUAAUUUUUCUUCAAAUUGUAUUGACCAAGUCAGUUUGCCUAUAAUUGUGUUUUCUUGUGUCCCUGCCCAACUGUGAUAUGUUGAUUAUACUAGCUUUAUUGGGGCACUUUCCUGCUCUUUUUUCUUCUCCUCUCCCCCUCCUCCCUUCCCCUUGCUUUUUCCUACCCUGCCUUCUCUCAUUCAUAUAAGAAAAUAACCUAUUACAAAUUUCAUGAAACUCAGCUCUAACAUUGGACUUUGUGAGUACAUCUGCUUUUUAUGUGUAAAUACAGAUUAUUGAGUCACUUUAUUUAAGCAAUCCUGGGUGUAGUCUUGUAUUUUAAUUAUUUUUUUUAUUCAUCUUUGGAUGUUUAGGGCCACACCCACAGCAUAUGGAUGUUCUCAGGCUAGGGAUCAAAUCACGGUUGUAGCUGCCAGCCUACUCCACUGCGACAGCAAUGCCAGAUUUGUAACCCAUGGAGCAGGGGCAGGGAUUGAACCUGCAUCUUCAUGGAUGCUAGUUGGAUUUGUUGUCACUGAGCCAUGAUGGGAAGUCCUCUAUUUUUUAUUAUUACCACAUUUUCAGAGAAAAUUGUACACUCUUAUCUGCUAGGAAAUGUAUUUUCGGAACCUUGUUGAUAGUAUUCUUUUAAAUCUGUUGUUAUGUUGAUAUUUCUGUCUCCAGGUGUUUAAGUAAUUUACUUAAUGAAGGGAAUGGUGAUCAGAAGCCAGCCAAAUGUGUUGCUGGUUGGCUCUGUCAGAAAUCUAGAUACUCAGGGUCUGAGGAUGAGCUAGAAAUUUUUACUGGUAGUAUAUUUUAAAUACUGAAUUGAGGGAGCAUAGAUUAAGCCAUUUUACUGGUUCCCACCUCAGUACACCAGCUGUCAAGUUCUUUUUUAUGUAAGUGAUAUGUUNUUUUUUUUAGGGCCGCACUCAUGGCAUAUGGAAGUUCCCCGGCUAGGGGUCAGAUCGGAGCUGUAGCCGCAGCAACACCAGGUCUGAGCCACGUCUGCGACCUACACCACAGCUCACAGCAACACUAGUUCCUUAACCCACUGAGUGAGGCCAGGGAUGGAACCUGCGUCCUCAUGGUUGCUAGUCAGAUUCUUUUCCACUGAGCCAUGAUGAGAAGUCCAAGACACUCAAAUCUAAACAGAGGAGUUCCUACUGUGGUACAAUGGGAUUAGCUUUUCUGCAGCAUCAGGACACAAGUUGGAUUCCCAUUGGGCACAGUGGGUUCAAGGUUCUGACCUGUGGUUAGGAUCUGAUCCUUGUCAUGUAAACUCCACAUGGGUUGGCCAAAAGAAAGAAAACAAUCUAAAUAGAAAGACUCAUUGAAUUCUGUGACCAGUUUGAAUUAAUUAUUUUUUCUUUGUGGUGCAAAGUAUGAAUCCAGGGUAUUGCUGUUAAUUUAUUUUCUGAUGGACAUUUUUAGUCUUGUAUGAUUUUUCUCAGAAUAUACUUUCUGCACUGAAUUGCCUGAGCACUUCAGUUAAAGAAAUGUGUGCACAUUUUGUCACAUCUGUCGUUUUUGGUGUUUCAUUUUUGUGAGUAGCACACACUGUUUUGGUGAGUGGCUGUAUGAUUUGUCUUGAAAUCAAGUAGUAGCAGUCCUCCAACUUUGUUCUUUUCAAAAUUGUUUUUAGAUUGUAGGUUGUUUGCUUUUCUACAUAAAUAUUAGAGUCAGCUUAUGAUUCUCAAAAACCCUGGAUAGCUUUUGAUUGUGAUUGCACUGAAUCCAGAGAUCUCUCUGUGGAGAACUGACAUCUCCAUCCUAUUAAGUCUCCUAAUUUAGGAAUUCAGUUUCUCUCUGUUUACCAGGUUAUCUAGAGAACUUGAAGCUGAGGAGGGACACGUGUCACUCUUGAGGGUGGACUCUAUUGGGGCAGUGGUGGCAACAGUUGGUGUUGCAGGCUCUUUCAGUACUUCUUUCAAGAAACGAUGAUGUUAGCAGUUGUAUUUAGAAAGGAUCAAAUAUUGGAUGGAUCGUGAAGGCAGAGAGCCAAGCUUCCAUAGAACAUUGCAAAUAAAGAGUGUACUGUCGGACA